AAUGUUUAAAUCUAAAUCAUCCGUGAGCUCUAGAUCUACUUUCUCUGUUGAAGAUGAUAAUUCAGUUAAUUUUGAUAAAUGGAAAAUCCCUAAGCUCUCCACUAAGGAGAUUUAUACUACUUCUUGGUUAAAAAGUGUUUUUAAAGCUGAAUAUGCUAUGAAAACUGCUGAACAAACUUUUGCUAUAUCUAGUAAUAAUGAAAAAUAUGAAUUAUUUGAUAAAAAAAUUAUUAAUGAUGCUCUGGUUAAAGGCUAUAAGGUUUUGCAUAUUGGAGCUGUUCAAGGUGCUUUUAAACCACUAGCUAGGCUAGAUAGUACUAAUGCUUCCGUUUUGCUUCGUCUUCGUGAUCCUAGAUUUGUUGAUUUCCAGACUAGUAUUCUUGGUAUGAUACAAUCUUCUUUGUUUAAUGGACCAAUCCAUUUUGAUAUUUUCCCUGACUCACUUAUUUAUUUGGAUGAUGUUCGUAUUACUAAAGGAUUGACUUUAGAUGUUUUGACUUCUGGUUGUGACAUGGAAGAAGGUAGAAGACCUCUUGCUGUCAUCUACCGCACUUAUUACAAAUUGCUAAAAGACAAUCCAAAUCCUCACGCUGUUGUCAAAAGUUCUGGGAACUCUACUAUGUUAAUUCAAAGUUCUACACAAGAUGCUAACAUAUAUGUUCCUAAAAUGAUGCGAUGGAAUGAAAUUGACGUCCCUAAUGAGUGGCUUUUAGAAAAUGUUUUCGAGCCUGCUAGAGUAGUAAAUGAUACCUCUAAUCUUGGUUCCAAUAUCUAACAAUAUUCAGAUGGAUCUGUUAAGAUUAGUUUUUCUGAUUUAAAUAUUUCUAUUAGAAGAGAAAGACCAUUAACUAUUAAUUAGGAGUGUAAAUUCUCUGCAAUGCAUUUCGUUCUUUUAUUUUCACUUUUUCCUUUUGCGCCGCUGCCUUCUUCAAAUCUUCUUGUCUUCUCUUCACGCCAUUCUUCACGCUUGCCUUCUUCAAUUCUUCUUGAAUCUUCAAUCCUUUCCUCUGUUUCUUUGUUUGCUUUUGCUUUCCUUCACAACACACACGGACCGAGAUCGAGAGAGACCUGAGAGUUGCUGCUGCUACGGUUACUGUCAAAGAAGUGAAGAACUCAAGGGAGAGCAAGAGUUCUGGAUUAUGAUUUGGUGAUUUAUGAAGCAGAUGGAGCAAAGGAAGUAGACGGUUAGUUAUAGAUGAUCGGGAGGAGACUUGCAGAAAGUUAGAAAUUGGACUAUGCUUGGAUAUGUUUAAUAUGUUUAUAAACUUUUGGUUAUAAACUUUUUUUUAAUAUGUUUAUGACCUUUUGGGUUUGUACUUUUUUAAUAUGUUUAUGAACUUUUGGGGUUUUAAUAUGUAAUCAUGUAUGGAUGUAAAAUUUCCUUAGAGGGCAUGAUAGUUAAUAUGUAUGAUUAAUAAUUUUGAUUCAUACAAUUACGUUCAAUGUCUUUGGAAUGAAA